rnacentral:rRNA from 1 species
CGCCAGCAGCCGCGGUAAUACGUAGGGGGCGAGCGUUGUCCGGAUUUACUGGGCGUAAAGGGUGAGUAGGCGGUGAUAUAAGUCAGGUGUAAAAGGCGUAGGCUUAACUUACGUAAGCACUUGAAACUGUAUGACUUGAGUGCAGGAGAGGUAAGUGGAAUUCCUAGUGUAGCGGUGAAAUGCGUAGAUAUUAGGAGGAACACCAGUGGCGAAGGCGACUUACUGGACUGUAACUGACGCUGAGUCACGAAAGUGUGGGUAGCAAACAGGAUUAGAUACCCUGGUAGUCCACACUGUAAACGAUGAGUGCUAGGUGUUGGGUAGCGAUAUUCAGUGCCGAAGUUAACACAAUAAGCACUCCGCCUGGGGAGUACGGUCGCAAGACUGAAACUCAAAGGAAUUGACGGGGGCCCGCACAAGC